ACACACAUUUGGACCAUAGCACACAGUUGGGUCAUAAAGCCAGGGUUCCGAGGCAAGUCUGAGGUCAUCAGCCAAGGGUGUCUGCAUCGGACAACACUCAACUCGGGAUUGGCACCCAGCCAGUGCCCUACACUAUACAAGAUGCCACUGUAGGGACAGGGAUGACCUCUAGCAAGGUGACCCUCAGUGGGCCAGAGGGGGCUUCUGAAGAGAAUUUCUCUAGCUUCUUGGUGUUUCCUGCCUGCUACUUUCAAACAAGGGUCCCAUUUUUAAUGUUUUCCCAGUAAUACCUUAUGAAUGUUAUUGCAAAGGAACCAGAGGAUGAUCAGGAGGGUGAGGAAAAGAAAAAGAUGAAAGCCCUGUCUAAGAUGCCCACAAGUUCUCUAGUUUGCAUUUGUUCCCUUGGUGAGCAGAAGGGUGCAAGUCCUCUCUUACUGUGAUGUGAGGAACCUAUAUCAUCCCAGGGCACAAGAGGGUGAAGUUGGCCAUCUGUGCCCUUCUCUGCCUUGUACCCUAGGCACGCCCCUCCUGUAGAUCCCAGUUUCUCUUUCUGCCAAAAAGGGGGCAGACCUGGUGAGUAGCUAAAGUUCCUUCCGGCCUGAAGGCCCCUCAAAGGUUUUCUCCUGUGCCUUCCCCACAGCCCGGGUCUGCACUCUACUGGGAUUUGCUGGGCUAGAUUCUCAGAGGAGCUCAACAUUGAUUGAGUUCCUCGCUCCACGUUAAAUCUUUGGAAAAUUAACUAAAGAUCUCCUAGUAAGAUGCUUGUAACUUACUACAUAAGGUGAAAUAGUGACUUUACAGUACAAAAACUAUAACCCAAGUAUUACCACCAGCAGCGGGCUAAAUCAACACCACAGGCCCCGUGAUCAAUAUAUGUGAUGAGGACAUUACAUCCUGGUGUUGUUGCCCCAAGUCUUGACGUGAAUCUGACCACAAGGACAAUUCGGACAACCUGAAAUGGUGACGCAUUCUACAAAAUAAACAUCAAUGUCAUGAAAGACAAAGACUCAAGAUUUUCUGCUUAAUGGAGACUAAAGAGAUGCGACAACAGAAUGCCAGGCAUGAUCUUGGAUAUUCUUUUGGCUCAAACAGUCUUAGGACAAUUGAAAAAACGUGAAUGAGGUCUGUAGCUAAUAGAAUUGUGUCAAUGCCACAUCCUUGGUUUUGUUAAUUGCAUUGUGGUUACAGAAGAGAAUCCCUUUGUUUUCAGGAAAUGCACACAGCAGUAUUUAAUAGUAAAGGCACAUCUUGUCUGCAA
rnacentral:lncRNA from 1 species